rnacentral:rRNA from 1 species
CCUACGGGUGGCAGCAGUGAGGAAUAUUGGGCAAUGGACGAGAGUCUGAACCAGCCAAGGAGCGUGAAGGAUGACGGCCCUAUGGGGUGUAAACUUCUGUUAUAAAGGAAUAAAACGAGGCACGUGUGCCGUUUUGCAUGUACGUUAUGAAGAAGGAUCGGCUAACGCCGUGCCAGCAGCCGCGGUAAUACGGAGGAUCCGAGCGUUAUCCGGAUUUAUUGGGUUUAAAGGGAGCGUAGAUGGGUUGUUAAGUCAGUUGUGAAAGUUUGCGGCUCAACCGUAAAAUUGCACUUGAUACUGUCAGUCUUGAGUACAGUUGAGGUAGGCGGCCUUCGUGGUGUAGCGG